rnacentral:rRNA from 1 species
GAUGAACGCUGGCGGCGUGCCUAAUACAUGCAAGUCGAGCGAACAGACGAGGAGCUUGCUCCUCUGACGUUAGCGGCGGACGGGUGAGUAACACGUGGAUAACCUACCUAUAAGACUGGGAUAACUUCGGGAAACCGGAGCUAAUACCGGAUAAUAUAUUGAACCGCAUGGUUCAAUAGUGAAAGACGGUUUUGCUGUCACUUAUAGAUGGAUCCGCGCCGCAUUAGCUAGUUGGUAAGGUAACGGCUUACCAAGGCAACGAUGCGUAGCCGACCUGAGAGGGUGAUCGGCCACACUGGAACUGAGACACGGUCCAGACCCCUACGGGAGGCAGCAGUAGGGAAUCUUCCGCAAUGGGCGAAAGCUUGACGGAGCAACGCCGCGUGAGUGAUGAAGGUCUUCGGAUUGUAAAACUCUGUUAUUAGGGAAGAACAAAUGUGUAAGUAACUAUGCACGUCUUGACGGUACCUAAUCAGAAAGCCACGGCUAACUACGUG